GACACACUGAGAAGACAACCAGGAACGGGGCUCUCACCAGACACGGGAUCUGCUGGCGCCUGGAUCCUGAACUUCCAGCUUCCAGAACUGUUGUUUCCUCCGCACGGGCAAUUCAGCCCCCGGGAUGAGCUUCCAAAGAGCAAGAGCCCAGCACCCGCCUCCACCAGACGCCGUGAUCCCAGCUGAGUGGGCGGGGCUGCCAGUGAGGAAGUUUGAGGGCGUCAGUCUGCCUUCCCACCAGGUUCUCCACUCGUGCUCCAUACCCGAACAAGAGGAACGCAUACAGCUUUAUUUAAUGUAAGCUUUAUGUGACGUGGGAGCCUUCAUAAGGAAAUGAAGACUCAAAGAAACGGUG